rnacentral:tRNA from 1 species
GUAGGCAUAGUUUAAAAAANNCAUUAGAUUGUGAUUCUAAAAAAAGGGGUUAAANUCCCCUUGUCCACC